rnacentral:rRNA from 1 species
UACGGGGGGAGCAAGCGUUGUUCGGAUUUACGGGGCGUAAAGGGCGCGUAGGCGGUCAGCACAAGUCAGUUGUGAAAUCUCCGGGCUUAACUCGGAAAGGUCAACUGAUACUGUGCGACUAGAGUGCGGAAGGGGCAACUGGAAUUCUCGGUGUAGCGGUGAAAUGCGUAGAUAUCGAGAGGAACACCUGCGGCGAAGGCGGGUUGCUGGGCUGACACUGACGCUGAGGCGCGAAAGCCAGGGGAGCGAACGGG